rnacentral:rRNA from 1 species
GGAGGGGGCUAGCGCUGUUCAGAAUUACUGGGCGUAAAGGGCGCGUAGGCGGCCUGCCAAGUCAGGGGUGAAAGGCCCGGGCUCAACCCGGGAACUGCCCUUGAAACUGGCAAGCUAGAGUCCGAGAGAGGAUGGCGGAAUUCCCAGUGUAGAGGUGAAAUUCGUAGAUAUUGGGAAGAACACCGGUGGCGAAGGCGGCCAUCUGGCUCGGUACUGACGCUGAGACGCGAAAGCGUGGGGAGCAAACAGGAUUAGAUACCCUGGUAGUCCACGCCGUAAACGAUGUGUGCUAGACGUUGGGGGUCUUAGGCCUUCGGUGUCGCAGCUAACGCGUUAAGCACACCGCCUGGGGGAGUACGGCCGCAAGGUUA